rnacentral:sRNA from 1 species
UCAAAAAUGUAAUAACAAUGCCAAUUUUUGAAGCACACUUUUACCCCUUGAUGAAAGGUUCCGAAAGCCAAAAGGUGUCUAAAAGUAGGCUUUAGUUGCAUGAACGAAAUAUGGCAAAUCGGGCACACAGCUGUUGGCUUUUCAUUUGGCGAUUUGCAAGCGGCGUAUGCAACACUGAUACCUCGCAUUAACUUUGAUGGAGAUGGAGAUGGGCGAAUUCCGAUGGCGGGGACACAGACAGACACAAUAACAGGAUUCCUGGAGUGGUGUAGUACCUCCACCUAUGCAUCCCCAUACGAGACCAGGAACCCAGGCAGCCCCUCGGUAGACAAAGUGCCAAGUCAGACAGAUGCAGACGUAUCUCAUUUAGCAUACCGUACUUUGCAGCUCAUCUUUAUUUCUUGGCAAGUUGUGUGCAAUUCAUUAAAGCGAAAUCUGCUCGAAUGCGAAUAAUGCAAA